GUCCGUUCAUUCCCGCAAAACCUGCAUUGGUAGGUCCGCAAAACCGGGAACGCAUGACACCUACUCAUGGAACGGGGGGUAGGU
rnacentral:ncRNA from 2 species